rfam:Schistosoma haematobium scaffold1515_5, whole genome shotgun sequence.
GUCCAGCUGAUGAGUCCUAAAUAGGACGAAACGAGCGUUCUGGAU